UUUUUUUCCUCUUCUUCUCUCGUCGAUUCCCCUUUUCCCUUCUUCACCCGCGCCAAUCCCUUCUCGCGUUGCCGCCGCAUCUCUUUCCUCUUCCUCCUCGUUCUUCUCGGCACCGAUCAACGCCCGAGCGUUGACAGCCGAACUUCUCUUCCUCUUCCCGAGCUCACGCUAACCUUUUCCCUUCUUCAUUGCGGCGCUGGAGACACUCGAGCCACCGUCGGUCGAGCCACCGUCGGUCGAGCUCCUUCUUCCUUUUCCUCGCGGACACCAGAAGCUCGCCGCCACGUGUGCCCUAGCAUUGAGCCUUCUCAGGGCAUCUCCGCCUGAAGCCGCCAUCUGGAUCAGUGGCCCUUGCGAACAGCCAACCCUAGCGAGCUCCGCUCAGCUGUCAAGCCGCCAAUUACUGCUAAGCCUUCUACAAUCGCCGAAGAGCUACCACCACUGGAGAUCAGGGCUACAUCAGGCCAUCCCUUCUGGCAGCAAGGUCCAGUGAAUCAAUCAGGAAACAUCUAAGAUUCAGGUAACAGGUAGAUGAGUCAUAGAUGCUUGGAGAGUCCCGGCUGCCAGUCCCAUGACGCACUCGAGGAUAGUUUCUUUUUCUGGUUUUAGUUACUAACGCUAUUUAUGUUUUGGUUUUGUGAACUUGGUAUUGUAUGCUUCGAUAUGGAUUAUGGAGUUUAGUCUGGUAGUUGUAGGUAAUUCUGUUAGUGACUUUGUCGGUCAUACAUUUGUUUUCUUUUUGUGAUUUCCGCUGCGUUUA